CCUACGGGAGGCAGCAGUGGGGAAUAUUGCACAAUGGGGGCAACCCUGAUGCAGCGACGCCGCGUGAGUGAUGAAGGACUUCGUUAUGUAAAGCUCUAUCAGCAGGGAAGAAAAUGACGGUACCUGAGUCAGAAGCCACGGACAACUACGUGCCAGCAGCCGCGGUAAUACGUAGGGGGCAAGCGUUAUCCGGAUUUACCGGGUGUAAAGGGAGCGUAGACGGCAGUGCAAGGCUGGAGUGAAAGGCGGGGGCUCAAUCGCGGGACUGCUCUGGAAACUGUACGGCUGGAGUGCAGGGGAGGUAGGUGGAAUUCCUGGUGUAGCGGUGAAAUGCGUAGAUAUUAGGAGGAACACCAGUGGCGAAGGCGGCUUACUGGACUGUAACUGACGUUGAGGCUCGAAAGCGUGGGGAGCAAACAGGAUUAGAUACCCGGGUAGUC
rnacentral:rRNA from 1 species